rnacentral:tRNA from 2 species
GUUACUAUAGUUUAACAAAAACCUAGGUUUGUGGGGCCUAAGAUGUACGAACGUACUAGUGACC